rnacentral:lncRNA from 1 species
AUUGUCUAUCUAUUGGAGACCUGUUGGGGGCAGUGAGUUGUAACAUAGUCUACCUAUUGGAGACCUGUUGGGGUCAGUGAGUUGUAACAUAUUGACCUGUUGGGGUCAGUGAGUUGUAACAUGUUGUCCUGUUGGGGUCAGUGAGUUGUAACAUAUUGUCUACCUAUUGGAGACCUGUUGGGGUCAGUGUGUUGUAACAUAUUGACCUGUUGGGGUCAGUGAGUUGUAACAUAUUGUCCUGUUGGGGUCAGUGAGUUGGAACAUAUUGUCCUGUUGGGGUCAGUGAGUUGUAACAUAUUGUCCUGUUGGGGUCAGUGUGUUGUAACAUAUUGUCCUGUUGGGGUCAGUGAGUUGUAACAUAUUGUCCUGUUGGGGUCAGUGAGUUGUAACAUAUUGUCCUGUUGGGGUCAGUGAGUUGUAACAUAUUGUCCUUUUGGGGUCAGUGAGUUGUAACAUAUUGUCCUGUUGGGGUCAGUGAGUUGUAACAUAUUGUCCUUUUGGGGUCAGUGAGUUGUAACAUAUUGUCUACCUAUUGGAGACCUGUUGGGGUCAGUGAGUUGUAACAUAUUGUCCUGUUGGGGUCAGUGAGUUGUAACAUAUUGUCCUGUUGGGGUCAGUGAGUUGGAACAUAUUGUCCUGUUGGGGUCAGUGAGUUGUAACAUAUUGUCCUGUUGGGGUCAGUGAGUUGUAACAUAUUGUCUACCUAUUGAGGUCAGUGAGUUGUAACAUAUUGUCCUGUUGGGGUCAGUGAGUUGUAACAUAUUGUCUACCUAUUGAGGUCAGUGAGUUGUAACAUUUUUGUCUACCUAUUGGAGACCUGUUGGGGUCAGUGAGUUGUAACAUAUUGUCCUGUUGGGGUCAGUAGGUUGUAACAUAUUGUCUACCUAUUGGAGACCUGUUGGGGUCAGUGAGUUGUAACAUAUUGUCCUGUUGGGGUCAGUGGGUUGUAACAUAUUGUCCUGUUGGGGUCAGUGAGUUGCAACAUAUUGUCCUGUUGGGGUCAGUGAGUUGUAACAUAUUGUCUACCUAUUGGAGACCUGUUGGGGUCAGUGAGUUGUAACAUAUUGUCUAUCUAUUGGAGACCUGUUGGGGUCAGUAAGUUGUAACAUAUUGACCUGUUGGGGUCAGUGAGUUGUAACAUAUUGUCCUGUUGGGGUCAGUGAGUUGUAACAUAUUGACCUGUUGGGGUCAGUGAGUUGUAACAUAUUGUCCUGUUGGGGUCAGUGAGUUGUAACAUAUUGUCCUGUUGGGGUCAGUGAGUUGUAACAUAUUGUCCUGUUGGGGUCAGUGAGUUGUAACAUAUUGUCCUGUUGGGGUCAGUGAGUUGUAACAUAUUGACCUGUUGGGGUCAGUGAGUUGUAACAUAUUGUCCUGUUGGGGUCAGUGAGUUGUAACAUAUUGACCUGUUGGGGUCAGUGAGUUGUAACAUAUUGUCCUGUUGGGGUCAGUGAGUUGUAACAUAUUGUCCUGUUGGGGUCAGUGAGUUGUAACAUAUUGUCCUGUUGGGGUCAGUGAGUUGUAACAUAUUGUCCUGUUGGGGUCAGUGAGUUGUAACAUAUUGUCUACCUAUUGGAGACCUGUUGGGGUCAGUGAGUUGUAACAUAUUGACCUGUUGGGGUCAGUGAGUUGUAACAUAUUGUCCUGUUGGGGUCAGUGAGUUGUAACAUAUUGUCCUGUUGGGGUCAGUGAGUUGUAACAUAUUGUCCUGUUGGGGUCAGUGAGUUGUAACAUAUUGUCCUGUUGGGGUCAGUGAGUUGUAACAUAUUGACCUGUUGGGGUCAGUGAGUUGUAACAUAUUGACCUGUUGGGGUCAGUGAGUUGUAACAUAUUGUCCUGUUGGGGUCAGUGAGUUGUAACAUAUUGUCCUGUUGGGGUCAGUGAGUUGUAACAUAUUGUCCUGUUGGGGUCAGUGAGUUGUAACAUAUUGACCUGUUGGGGUCAGUGAGUUGUAACAUAUUGACCUGUUG